UACGUAGGGGCCGAGCGUUGUCCGGAGUUACUGGGCGUAAAGCGCGCGCAGGCGGCUCGUCAAGCCUGACGUGAAAGCCCCCGGCUCAACCGGGGAGGGUCGUCGGGGACUGGCGGGCUUGAGGUCGGCAGGGGUUGGUGGAAUUCCCGGUGUAGUGGUGAAAUGCGUAGAUAUCUGGAGGAACACCGGUGGCGAAGGCGGCAUCCUGGACCGGCAUUGACGCUGAGGCGCGAAAGCCAGGGAGCAAACGGGG
rnacentral:rRNA from 1 species